rnacentral:tRNA from 2 species
GUAAAUAUAGUUUAACAAAAAUAUUAGAUUGUGAAUCUAAGACUAGCAAGGUCGACACAUGACAGAAGCUAGUAUCUUCUUAUUUACC